UAUUUUUGUACCAGCCCUGCAGAACUGCUGUAAUAUUAUUGUCACUCCAAGAACAGAAGAACUUUUGAAACUAGUUAUCCACCUUAGAGAAGAGCUGCAAUACUUAGCAAAUGUUGUGGAGUGGCCUCAUAGAAAUAUGGUUCCCGAGAUUGCAAGCUUGGGAAAGCUGAGCUUAAGGCAACGGUGAUAAUGGAACUGGAUAAACUUUAUUCAGAUGAGAGUGAGAGCAAAAAGGAUCCCAAAUCAGAUUUUCAGGAAGGCAAAUUGAGCGAGUUCUGUGCUGAUUAUCGUGGGUUUCAGCCACUCUGCUCCUAUUCUGCAUCUGUUGUUAUAGUGUCCCAGUAGGAGACCUUCCAUGUAAACUAAGAGGCGUCGUGAAGGCUUAAACAAAGAAACUUGAACCUGAAGUUAUGACCUCCUUGUUAACUUUUCAUCCUUUUCCACUUCACCUUUGUGGUGUUGCUGCUGGCCAAUUGUUAAACUCCAUAUCUGUAGAGCUAUUUCAUGUAUGUAAGAGCAGGAACACUUGCUUUGCAGUCUUGAGUCACCAUUCGAAUUGCCAAAAUCCUUUUUGUCUCUGAGACAUCUUGUAUCUGAAGAUAUUGAUGAGUAAUAGUUGGGUUUUCUUACUGCAUGUCAGUUGGCACAGUUUUACUUCCUGAAAAUGAUACACACAAUAGAUGUUUGGGAUAGCAUAGGAAACAGUAUUAUUAGCAUGACUUUACUCAUGGCAGUAAUUGAUAUUAAUGCAGAAGUGACUAGUUAGGGAUUAUAGGUCUGUGAGAGUUUUCUUAACAUGACAGUAGUGUUCCUAUGGUUGCACAAUGUUAACUGCUUAGAAUAAAAGCCAGAAAGUAGUGAGGAAGCUACAGUUGAUGAUGACGGGAGCAAAUCUUCAGUACUGAAAACAUGGAUCUACAGUACCACUAAAGACACGAGCCUGUUAGUUGUAUGUCAAUGGCUUGUAGACUCUGAAAUCAAGCAUUAGGAAGAAAUUAGGCUUGUGUGACUUAGGCUUGGACUUUCAACAUACCUGAAGGGUGCCUACAGUAAAGCUGAGGAGGGAGUUGUUAUAAGGGCAUGUAGGGACAGGACAAGGGGAAAUGGCUUUAAAAUGGAAGAGGGUAGAUUCAGCCUAGUGAGGCACUGGAACAGGUUUCCCAGCAAGGCUGUGGAUGCCCCCUUCCUGGAAGCAUUCAAGGCCAGGAUGGAUGGGGCUGUGAGCAACCUAGGCUUAUAGGGAGGUGUGCCUGCCUGUAGCAGGGGGUUGGAACUAGAUGAUCUUAAAGGUCCCUUCUGACCUAAGCUGUUCUAUGAAUCCAGAGCUUUUGGGUAAGGUUAGCCUUCUUGUUUCUAGAAUUUUAAAUCUAAUUUUGGUGCUGAUGCAUUCCUGCUUCGCAGUUGGAUGCCACGGGGUUUUAAUUAAAGCUAUCGCUCAUAUAAUUUGGGGCCAGAUGGCGUGCAUCCCAGGGUCCUGAAGGAGCUGGCUGAGGUGGUUGCUUGAGCCGCUCUCCAUCAUAUUUGAGAAGUCG